CGAGGCGUAGCGCAGUUUGGUAGCGCACCUGGUUUGGGACCAGGGUGUCGGGAGUUCGAGUCUCUUCGCCUCGACCA
rnacentral:tRNA from 1 species